rnacentral:rRNA from 1 species
AUUGAACGCUGGCGGCAGGCCUAACACAUGCAAGUCGAGCGGAUGAAGGGAGCUUGCUCCUGGAUUCAGCGGCGGACGGGUGAGUAAUGCCUAGGAAUCUGCCUGGUAGUGGGGGAUAACGUCCGGAAACGGGCGCUAAUACCGCAUACGUCCUGAGGGAGAAAGUGGGGGAUCUUCGGACCUCACGCUAUCAGAUGAGCCUAGGUCGGAUUAGCUAGUUGGUGGGGUAAAGGCCUACCAAGGCGACGAUCCGUAACUGGUCUGAGAGGAUGAUCAGUCACACUGGAACUGAGACACGGUCCAGACUCCUACGGGAGGCAGCAGUGGGGAAUAUUGGACAAAGGGCGAAAGCCUGAUCCAGCCAUGCCGCGUGUGUGAAGAAGGUCUUCGGAUUGUAAAGCACUUUAAGUUGGGAGGAAGGGCAGUAAGUUAAUACCUUGCUGUUUUGACGUCACCAACAGAAUAAGCACCGGCUAACUUCGUG